UUGGGAAAUCUGUCAAUUGAGCUUUGGCCCAAUUGGUUUACCUGGUAGCCAGAAAUGCAGACGGCCUGACUACCCCCUGGCAUUAGUCGGAACUCGGAAGGCACUCCAAACUCGGAUCAGGCAGUGUGGUGGCCCAACUGGAUCUCAUGGCCCGUUCGACCCGAGUCCGCUCGGAGCUCAUGGUGUCCGUUGAACCGUUGAACCGCGAAGAAGUCCACUCUGUAGCACCUCGGUGCGUUCCUACCGAGGUUGACCGGAUUAGCCGAUAAAGUUUAUAAAAAAAAAAUACAUGUGUAAUGUGUUUUAUGCAAUUAUAAGAUAAACU
rnacentral:lncRNA from 1 species